rnacentral:rRNA from 1 species
CACGUAGUUAGCCGGCGCUUCUUCUGCAGGUACCGUCACUUGCGCUUCUUCCCUGCUGAAAGAGGUUUACAACCCGAAGGCCGUCAUCCCUCACGCGGCGUCGCUGCAUCAGGCUUGCGCCCAUUGUGCAAUAUUCCCCACUGCUGCCUCCCGUAGGAGUCUGGGCCGUGUCUCAGUCCCAGUGUGGCCGGUCGCCCGUCUCAGGCCGGCUACCCGUCGUCGCCUUGGUGAGCCGUUACCUCACCAACAAGCUGAUAGGCCGCGGGCUCAUCCCUGCACCGGCCGGUAGCUUUUCCACACAGAGGAGAUGCCUCCCUGUGUCGUAUCCGGUAUUAGACCCCGGUUUCCAGGGCUUGUCCCAGAGUGCAGGGCAGAUUGCCCACGUGUUACUCACCCGUUCGCCACUAAUCCACCCCCGAAGGGGCUUCAUCGUUCGACUUGCAUGUGUUAAGCACGCCGCCAGCGUCGUCCUCGAGCCAGGAUCGAACUACG